UAAUACGGAGGGUGCAAGCGUUAUCCGGAUUCACUGGGUUUAAAGGGUGCGUAGGCGGGUUGGUAAGUCCGUGGUGAAAUCUCCAAGCUUAACUUGGAAACUGCCGUGGAUACUAUCAAUCUUGAAUAUAGUGGAGGUGAGCGGAAUAUGUCAUGUAGCGGUGAAAUGCUUAGAUAUGACAUAGAACACCCAUUGCGAAGGCAGCUCGCUACACUAUUAUUGACGCUGAGGCACGAAAGCGUGGGGAUCAAACAGGAUUAGAUACCCUGGUAGUCCACGCCCUAAACGAUGAUUACUCGACAUCAGCGAUACACUGUUGGUGUCUGAGCGAAAGCAUUAAGUAAUCCACCUGGGAAGUACGACCGCAAGGUUG
rnacentral:rRNA from 1 species